UAGUUNGANNNNNGGCUCAGGAUGAACGCUAGCGACAGGCUUAACACAUGCAAGUCGAGGGGCAGCGGGGUGUAGCAAUACACCGCCGGCGACCGGCGCACGGGUGAGUAACGCGUAUGCAACUUGCCUAUCAGAGGGGGAUAACCCGGCGAAAGUCGGACUAAUACCGCAUGAAGCAGGGAUCCCGCAUGGGAAUAUUUGCUAAAGAUUCAUCGCUGAUAGAUAGGCAUGCGUUCCAUUAGGCAGUUGGCGGGGUAACGGCCCACCAAACCGACGAUGGAUAGGGGUUCUGAGAGGAAGGUCCCCCACAUUGGUACUGAGACACGGACCAAACUCCUACGGGAGGCAGCAGUGAGGAAUAUUGGUCAAUGGGCGUAAGCCUGAACCAGCCAAGUCGCGUGAGGGAUGAAGGUUCUAUGGAUCGUAAACCUCUUUUAUAAGGGAAUAAAGUGCGGGACGUGUCCCGUUUUGUAUGUACCUUAUGAAUAAGGAUCGGCUAACUCCGUGCCAGCAGCCGCGGUAAUACGGAGGAUCCGAGCGUUAUCCGGAUUUAUUGGGUUUAAAGGGUGCGUAGGCGGCCUUUUAAGUCAGCGGUGAAAGUCUGUGGCUCAACCAUAGAAUUGCCGUUGAAACUGGGGGGCUUGAGUAUGUUUGAGGCAGGCGGAAUGCGUGGUGUAGCGGUGAAAUGCAUAGAUAUCACGCAGAACCCCGAUUGCGAAGGCAGCCUGCCAAGCCAUUACUGACGCUGAUGCACGAAAGCGUGGGGAUCAAACAGGAUUAGAUACCCUGGUAGUCCACGCAGUAAACGAUGAUCACUAGCUGUUUGCGAUACACUGUAAGCGGCACAGCGAAAGCGUUAAGUGAUCCACCUGGGGAGUACGCCGGCAACGGUGAAACUCAAAGGAAUUGACGGGGGCCCGCACAAGCGGAGGAACAUGUGGUUUAAUUCGAUGAUACGCGAGGAACCUUACCCGGGUUUGAACGCAUUCGGACCGAGGUGGAAACACCUUUUCUAGCAAUAGCCGUUUGCGAGGUGCUGCAUGGUUGUCGUCAGCUCGUGCCGUGAGGUGUCGGCUUAAGUGCCAUAACGAGCGCAACCCUUGCCACUAGUUACUAACAGGUUAGGCUGAGGACUCUGGUGGGACUGCCAGCGUAAGCUGCGAGGAAGGCGGGGAUGACGUCAAAUCAGCACGGCCCUUACAUCCGGGGCGACACACGUGUUACAAUGGCGUGGACAAAGGGAGGCCACCUGGCGACAGGGAGCGAAUCCCCAAACCACGUCUCAGUUCGGAUCGGAGUCUGCAACCCGACUCCGUGAAGCUGGAUUCGCUAGUAAUCGCGCAUCAGCCAUGGCGCGGUGAAUACGUUCCCGGGCCUUGUACACACCGCCCGUCAAGCCAUGGGAGCCGGGGGUACCUGAAGUCCGUAACCGAAAGGAUCGGCCUAGGGUAAAACUGGUGACUGGGGCUAAGUCGUAACAAGGUAUCC
rnacentral:rRNA from 1 species